rnacentral:sRNA from 1 species
UGUGGUGAAGGUCUGAACUCUCUACCAACCUGGCCAAGGGCAAGGGAAGGCUCGAUGGAGUGCCGAGAGCCUUGAAAAAUCAAGGGUUUAAAAUCAUUGAGAGGGGUGAAAUUGAAGUGAAAGGUAAAGGGAGAAUGACCACAUACUUUUUGAUCCAGAACUUGAAUGCCACAGAGGAUGAGAUCAUGGGGAGAUCUAAAACCCCAGUUGAUCACAAGGGUAAGCAAAAAAGAGAAGCUUUGUCAUUAGUGUUGAGUAGUUUUUCCACUAACCACUUCAGAUAUGUUUAUUAUUUGCAGGGUCAACACAGAAAGCGUCCUUGCCCACCACCAAGCUCCAGGGCUCAGUUCAACCAUCUUGCCCUGAACACUCUUCUCUUGCAUCCUGGUUAUUAUGAUGUUCUUUGAGCUGGGCCGAUAGAUCCAGCUGAAGAGUUCUACAUACAUUAGUCUUCAAGGUUCUUCUCUGGGCGUUUCUCAUGCAGCUCUCUGCUAGCUGGGGAAUGAUUUAAGCAAGUGCUCAGGGAAAUGAAGACAGGAGAACUGCUGCCGUCAUGAGCUAUGCCGACAGUCAGCAGCUGAUCCCCGACAGAGACGCAGCAGAUGCAGACG